rnacentral:rRNA from 1 species
GACGAACGCUGGCGGCGUGCUUAACACAUGCAAGUCGAACGGAAAGGCCCUGCUUUUGUGGGGUGCUCGAGUGGCGAACGGGUGAGUAACACGUGAGUAACCUGCCCUUGACUUUGGGAUAACUUCAGGAAACUGGGGCUAAUACCGGAUAGGAGCUCCUGCUGCAUGGUGGGGGUUGGAAAGUUUCGGCGGUUGGGGAUGGACUCGCGGCUUAUCAGCUUGUUGGUGGGGUAGUGGCUUACCAAGGCUUUGACGGGUAGCCGGCCUGAGAGGGUGACCGGCCACAUUGGGACUGAGAUACGGCCCAGACUCCUACGGGAGGCAGCAGUGGGGAAUAUUGCACAAUGGGCGGAAGCCUGAUGCAGCAACGCCGCGUGCGGGAUGACGGCCUUCGGGUUGUAAACCGCUUUCGCCUGUGACGAAGCGUGAGUGACGGUAAUGGGUAAAGAAGCACCGGCUAACUACGUGCCAGCAGCCGCGGUGAUACGUAGGGUGCGAGCGUUGUCCGGAUUUAUUGGGCGUAAAGGGCUCGUAGGUGGUUGAUCGCGUCGGAAGUGUAAUCUUGGGGCUUAACCCUGAGCGUGCUUUCGAUACGGGUUGACUUGAGGAAGGUAGGGGAGAAUGGAGUUCCUGGUGGAGCGGUGGAAUGCGCAGAUAUCAGGAGGAACACCAGUGGCGAAGGCGGUUCUCUGGGCCUUUCCUGACGCUGAGGAGCGAAAGCGUGGGGAGCGAACAGGCUUAGAUACCCUGGUAGUCCACGCUGUAAACGGUGGGUACUAGGUGUGGGGUCCAUUCCACGGGUUCCGUGCCGUAGCUAACGCUUUAAGUACCCCGCCUGGGGAGUACGGCCGCAAGGCUAAAACUCAAAGGAAUUGACGGGGCCCCGCACAAGCGGCGGAGCAUGCGGAUUAAUUCGAUGCAACGCGUAGAACCUUACCUGGGUUUGACAUGGAUCGGGAGUGCUCAGAGAUGGGUGUGCCUCUUUUGGGGUCGGUUCACAGGUGGUGCAUGGCUGUCGUCAGCUCGUGUCGUGAGAUGUUGGGUUAAGUCCCGCAACGAGCGCAACCCUUGUUCACUGUUGCCAGCACGUUAUGGUGGGGACUCAGUGGAGACCGCCGGGGUCAACUCGGAGGAAGGUGGGGAUGACGUCAAGUCAUCAUGCCCCUUAUGUCCAGGGCUUCACGCAUGCUACAAUGGCUGGUACAGAGAGUGGCGAGCCUGUGAGGGUGAGCGAAUCUCGGAAAGCCGGUCUCAGUUCGGAUUGGGGUCUGCAACUCGACCUCAUGAAGUCGGAGUCGCUAGUAAUCGCAGAUCAGCAACGCUGCGGUGAAUACGUUCCCGGG